rnacentral:rRNA from 1 species
UGGGGAAUUUUGGACAAUGGGCGCAAGCCUGAUCCAGCCAUGCCGCGUGCGGGAAGAAGGCCUUCGGGUUGUAAACCGCUUUUGUCAGGGAAGAAAUCUUCUGAGUUAAUACCUCGGGAGGAUGACGGUACCUGAAGAAUAAGCACCGGCUAACUACGUGCCAGCAGCCGCGGUAAUACGUAGGGUGCAAGCGUUAAUCGGAAUUACUGGGCGUAAAGCGUGCGCAGGCGGUUUUGUAAGACAGAGGUGAAAUCCCCGGGCUCAACCUGGGAACUGCCUUUGUGACUGCAAGGCUUGAGUGCGGCAGAGGGGGAUGGAAUUCCGCGUGUAGCAGUGAAAUGCGUAGAUAUGCGGAGGAACACCGAUGGCGAAGGCAAUCCCCUGGGCCUGCACUGACGCUCAUGCACGAAAGCGUGGGGAGCAAACAGGAUUAGAUAGCCCUGGUAGUCCACGCCCUAAAACGAUGUCAACUGGUUGUUGGGAAGGUUCCUUCUCAGUAACGUAGCUAACGCGUGAAGUUGACCGCCUGGGGAGUACGGCCGCAA